UGCAAGUCGAGCGAACAGAUAAGGAGCUUGCUCCUUUGACGUUAGCGGCGGACGGGUGAGUAACACGUGGGUAACCUACCUAUAAGACUGGAAUAACUCCGGGAAACCGGGGCUAAUGCCGGAUAACAUUUAGAACCGCAUGGUUCUAAAGUGAAAGAUGGUUUUGCUAUCACUUAUAGAUGGACCCGCGCCGUAUUAGCUAGUUGGUAAGGUAAUGGCUUACCAAGGCAACGAUACGUAGCCGACCUGAGAGGGUGAUCGGCCACACUGGAACUGAGACACGGUCCAGACUCCUACGGGAGGCAGCAGUAGGGAAUCUUCCGCAAUGGGCGAAAGCCUGACGGAGCAACGCCGCGUGAGUGAUGAAGGGUUUCGGCUCGUAAAACUCUGUUAUUAGGGAAGAACAAACGUGUAAGUAACUGUGCACGUCUUGACGGUACCUAAUCAGAAAGCCACGGCUAACUACGUGCCAGCAGCCGCGGUAAUACGUAGGUGGCAAGCGUUAUCCGGAAUUAUUGGGCGUAAAGCGCGCGUAGGCGGUUUCUUAAGUCUGAUGUGAAAGCCCACGGCUCAACCGUGGAGGGUCAUUGGAAACUGGGAGACUUGAGUGCAGAAGAGGAAAGUGGAAUUCCAUGUGUAGCGGUGAAAUGCGCAGAGAUAUGGAGGAACACCAGUGGCGAAGGCGACUUUCUGGUCUGUACUGACGCUGAUGUGCGAAAGCGUGGGGAUCAAACAGGAUUAGAUACCCUGGUAGUCCACGCCGUAAACGAUGAGUGCUAAGUGUUAGGGGGUUUCCGCCCCUU
rnacentral:rRNA from 1 species